CAAAACGAAAAUCCAAUAUGGUCGACAGUCACACACCACGUGCGUUUUGAUGACAAAAUAUUAUAACCUUAUCAACUUAUAGAAUUGAUUUAUUUAUAUUAUAUUCCUGACAUUUUUAAUAAUAUUACAAUAGUGUAGAAUGGCGGCACCAAAAAGAGCUCAAAAAAGAAAAGAGAGCUCUAAAUCAAUGAAAAAAGUUAUCGAAGUUACUCAAAACGAGGAGGAAAGUGAUUCCGAAGAAGCAGUGGAUUCAGGAACGGAGGAUUUUUUAGCAUCGGAAUUAAACGAUGGUGACGACGACAGUAGCGAUGAGGAAACUGGGGAAGUUGAUAAAAUUCCAGAUUCAGACACAGAACAAGAUCAAGUUGUCUUUGAAUCUGAUGACGAUGUCAGCCAAUUAGAAUCGGGAAACGAUUCCAAUAGCGAGGAUGACGACGAGAUUAAUAAUUCGGAAUUUGAAUCCGACUCUGAAGAGGAGAGCGUCGACGAAGACGAAGACGACGACGAUGAUGAUAAUGAUGAUAAUGAUGAUAAUGAAGUCGAAGAAGAGGAAAGUGAUAACGAGGAAGUCAGUGAAUUAGAAUUUGAAUCUGAUUCCGACGAUUUAAAUAUUGCAAAUAAAUCCGAAACAAUAUUGAAGGACGAGAAAAAUUCAAUUAAAGAUAAAAGAAUCAUUAAACAUAUUCAAGCAACAAAUUCAAAGGGCAAAGAAAAAUCUACAAUUGUGAAAAAUAAGGAACUGACUUCUACAAAAACUGAAGGAAAAGAAUCAAAUUUGUUGAAAAAGAAAAAUAAGGAAUUAAAGAAUUCUAAAAUUAAAUCAAAAGAUGUGGAAAAAGUUUCCAAUAAAUUGGAAAUUACAGAAAUUGACGGUAAAAGUUCUGAAAACAAAUUCGUAAAUAAAUAUAACAGUAAAAAUGAAAAUCAAUCGAAUCAGGAUGAAUAUGAAUUUGAUAGUUCGGACGAGGAAGAUAUUCGCAAUACAGUUGGAAAUAUACCAAUGAAAUGGUACGAUGAUUAUAAACAUAUUGGUUAUAAUUGGGAGGGAAAGAAAAUUUUAAAACCAGAAAAAGGCGAUCAGCUCGAUAAUUUUUUGAAACGAAUGGAGGAUCCCGAUUUUUGGCGAACAAUUAAGGAUCCACAAACUGGACAGGACGUUGUAUUGAGCGAGGCUGACAUUCAAUUAAUAACUCGUAUUCAAAAGCAAAAAGUCCCCGACACUCAAUUUGACGAAUACUCACCUUGGGUCGAGUGGUUCACGUCAGAAGUGAUGAAAACACCAUUGAGAAAAUUCCCAGAGCACAAGAGAUCUUUUGUGCCAUCAAAAAUUGAGGCGAAAAAAGUUUCAAAAUUAGUGCACGCAUUAAAAAUGGGUUGGAUAAAAUCGAGCGCCGAAAUGGAAAAGGAACGUCAACAAGCAAAAAAUGAUCCACAAUUUUAUAUGCUCUGGCAAACUGAUGAUCAGGCCGAGGAAAUGCGACGUAUACAUAAACAUAUACAAGCGCCAAAAAGAUUUUUACCAGGUCAUGCCGAGAGUUAUAAUCCACCGGCGGAAUAUUUAUUCGAUGCAAAGGAAAUGAAAGCAUUUAAUAAAUAUAAGAAUACACCGUGGAAGAGGAAAUUACAUUUUAUACCACAAAAAUAUGAAUCAUUAAGAAAUGUGCCGGCCUAUUCAAAAUAUAUUAAAGAAAGAUUUCAAAGAUGCUUGGAUCUUUAUCUUUGUCCGCGUGCAAUUAAAAUGAAAUUGACAAUUCAACCGGAAGACUUGGUACCACAAUUACCGAGUCCCAAGGAUUUACAACCAUUCCCAACGACAAUGUCGAUGAUUUUUAAGGGACAUACGGAUAUGGUGAGGAGUAUCAGUUCCGAAUGGAAGGGACAAUAUUUUGCCUCUGGUGGCGAUGACAUGACAUUGAGAAUUUGGGAAAUAGCAACUGGUCGUUGCGUAAAAGUUGUUCCUUGCGGUGGUGUUGUGAGGAGCGUCGCUUGGUGUCCAAAUCAAGCGAUCUCUUUAAUCGCCGUUGCGGCCGAUAGAAAAGUUCUCUUAAUUAAUCCCGAAGUUGGAGAUCACGUUAUAACGAAAAAAACUGAUCAACUUCUUGAAAUCAUUCCUCAGAGUGAUGCCAUAGUCGCUGAUAAUAUAAAGUCGACAGUCCAAUGGGAACAGGCAGAAGGUGAAGAGAAGAAAAAUGGAAUUCGAUUGAUUUUGAAUCAUUUUAAAAUGGUAAAGCAAGUGACGUGGCAUGGAAAGGGUGAUUAUUUUGCAAGUGUAAUGCCCGAGGGACAAAAUCGUUCAGUUUUAAUAAAUCAAUUGUCAAAAAGAAGAUCUCAACUUCCAUUUAGAAGGCCCAAGGGUUUGAUUCAAUGCGUUCUUUUCCAUCCAAUAAGACCAUUUUUGUUCGUCGCUACACAACGAAAUGUACGAAUUUACGAUCUCGUUAAACAAGAAAUGGUGAAAAAAUUACUCUCAAAUUCACAAUGGAUUUCAUCAAUGGCUAUCCAUCCAGGUGGUGAUAAUCUUUUAAUUGGAACAUACGAUCGUAAAGUUGUUUGGUUUGAUUUGGACUUGAGCACAAAACCAUAUCAAACAUUAAGAUUACAUGGCACUGGAAUAAGAAAUGUUGCCUUUCACAAACGAUAUCCACUCUUUGCAUCAGGAGCCGAUGACAGAGGUCUCAUUGUCAGUCAUGGAAUGGUCUAUAACGAUCUUUUGAAGAAUCCAUUAAUCGUUCCUCUGAAAAGAUUAAGUAAUCAUGAGUCAUUUAAUGAUUUUGGAAUUCUUGAUGUGAUGUUCCAUCCGAUUCAGCCGUGGGUUUUCUCUGCGGGCGCUGAUUCGACGAUAAGAAUGUACACAUAGGUUUCUUUUAUUUUUUUUUACAAAUUCUCAUGAACGAGAAUUUGAAAUUUCCUUUUAUUUUUACACUACAUUGCUCUUCUUUUUUUAAACAUCGCGAAGGAAAAAACAAAUAAAAAGGACAUGAAACGACAAAA